rnacentral:rRNA from 1 species
UACGGAGGGUGCAAGCGUUAUCCGGAUUUACUGGGUUUAAAGGGUGCGUAGGUGGGUUGGUAAGUCAGUGGUGAAAUACUUUCGCUUAACGAAGGAACUGCCAUUGAUACUACCAGUCUUGAAUACAGUGGAGGUAGGCGGAAUGCGUCAUGUAGCGGUGAAAUGCUUAGAUAUGACGCAGAACACCAAUUGCGAAGGCAGCUUACUACACAGUUAUUGACGCUGAGGCACGAAAGCGUGGGGAUCAAACAGG